rnacentral:rRNA from 1 species
UACGUAGGGUGCGAGCGUUGUCCGGAAUUAUUGGGCGUAAAGAGCUCGUAGGCGGUGUGUCACGUCGGCCGUGAAAACCUGCAGCUUAACUGUGGGCGUGCGGUCGAUACGGGCAUCACUGGAGUUCGGCAGGGGAGACUGGAAUUCCUGGUGUAGCGGUGAAAUGCGUAGAUAUGCGGAGGAACACCGAUGGCGAAGGCAAUCCCCUGGGCCGGAACUGACGCUGAGGAGCGAAAGCGUGGGUAGCAAACAGG